rnacentral:lncRNA from 1 species
UGUUGUGCCCCGGAGCCGCAACGAAUGGGCCGACUGGAAGGAGACGGGCGUUCCCACCUAUCAGCCUCCCGUGGAUGUGAGCGACAGCGAGGAGCAAAAUCUUGAGGCCGACUUCCCCGACUACGUGGACUCUCCCCUUGAGUAGUAGACCCGUAACGAAUGUUUUUUUUUGCUUUUUUUUUGUACGGGAAGAACUCUUACCCCUGCUUUGUAAUAAUACUUAACUUUUUU